UAAAGUCAGACCGCCCAAUGAUAUUUUAAAUGGCCGCAGUAGUUUAAUUGUGCAAAGGUAGCAGAAUAAUUUGUUUUAUUAAUUGGAAACUAGCAUGAAUGGUCAUACGAAAGAUUGACUUUCAAUAAAAAUCUUGUAUUUAAUAGUUUUAUUUUUCUGUGAAAAAGCAGAGAUGUUUUUAUUAAACGAUUAGACCCUUUAAAACUUUAUAUUAUAAUAAAAGCAUGAGUUUUUAAUUUUUUUAUUUUGUGCUAUUUUUUAGUGAAUUUUGUUGGGGCGACAGGUAAAUUUAUUGAACUUUACUUUUUUUAUAUCACAAAUUAGUGUUUG
rnacentral:rRNA from 1 species